UACAGAGGGUGCAAGCGUUAAUCGGAAUUACUGGGCGUAAAGCGCGCGUAGGUGGUUUGUUAAGUUGGAUGUGAAAUCCCCGGGCUCAACCUGGGAACUGCAUCCAAAACUGGCAAGCUAGAGUAUGGUAGAGGGUGGUAGAAUUUCCUGUGUAGCGGUGAAAUGCGUAGAUAUAGGAAGGAACACCAGUGGCGAAGGCGACCACCUGGACUGAUACUGACACUGAGGUGCGAAAGCGUGGGUAGCGAACAGG
rnacentral:rRNA from 1 species